rnacentral:tRNA from 1 species
CCGGGCCUGGUCGACCGGAUGCGCAUCGAGCGGUACGAGCGCCCGCUCGGCGCCGUCCCCGGCGUCGCGGUGUUCCAGAAGCUCGGCCCGGU